rnacentral:lncRNA from 1 species
CUGGCACUUGAGGGGACACUGACUGGCAGGGACUUAAGGGCCUGGGAAAUAGCCUGCUGCCCUCUUGAGGAUAGGCAUUGGCACCCUUGGGUGGACACUAGAAUUCAUGGGCAAAGUCUGGACCAUUACUUGACCUACUCCCAGGGAAGCUGCACCAGCUAGUGUUGCAAAUAAAGCAGAGCUGUCCCCGCUGGAGCCUCCCGGUGUGCAGGUGUGAGGGUCCUUUCCUGUGACCCUGAAAAAGCCUGUAUGGGAUCAGGAGCGCUAUCCCCCACUUCAUCCUCACUUGGAGAAGUCAAGGCUCCUGGACCACGCAGGAAGAAUGUGGGGGCUAUAUCCAGGCCGUGGUUAGGCCGACUGAGCAGGGUCCUGUUACAGCUCUAUGGCCUCGAGGGUCUGGGACGGAAAUGA